rnacentral:lncRNA from 1 species
UCAGUUUAGGGUUUAAAACCCUAAUGCUGACUCUGACUACAGGAAAAGUUCAGUUUAGGGUUUAAAAUCCUAAUGCUGACUGAAUGGAAAAGAGUUCAGUUUAGGGUUUAAAACCCUAAUGCUGACUACAGGAAAAGUUCAGUUUAGGGUUUAAAACCCUAAUGCUGACUGAAUGAAAAAGAGUUCAAUUUAGGGUCUAAAACCCUAAUGCUGAAUAAAUGGAAAAGUUCAGUUUAGGGUUUAAAACCCUAAUGCUGACUAAAGGAAAGAGUUCAGUUUAGGGUUUAAAACCCUAAUGAUGACUAAAGGGAAAGUUCAGUUUAGGGUUUAAAACCCUAAUGCUGACUGAAUGGAAAAAGUUCAGUUUAGGGUUUAAAACCCUAAUGCUGACUAAAUGGAAAAAGUUCAGUUUAGGGUUUAAAACCCUAAUGCUGACUAAAGGGAAAGUUCAGUUUAGGGUUUAAAACCCUAAUACUGACUGGCUGGAAAGAGUUAAGUUUAGAGUUUAAAACCCUAAUGCUGACUGAAUGGAAAAAGUUCAGUUUAGGGUUUAAAACCCUAAUGCUGACUCUGACUACAGGAAAAAGUUCAGUUUAGGGUUUAAAAUCCUAAUGCUGACUCUGACUACAGGAAAAGUUCAGUUUAGGGUUUAAAAUCCUAAUGCUGACUGAAUGGAAAAAGUUCAGUUUAGGGUUUAAAACCCUAAUGCUGACUAAAUGGAAAAAGUUCAGUUUAGGGUUUAAAACCCUAAUGCUGACUAAAGGAAAGAGUUCAGUUUAGGGUUUAAAACCCUAAUGCUGACUGAAUUGAAAAAGUUCAGUUUAGGGUUUAAAACCCUAAUGCUGACUAAAGGAAACAGUUCAGUUUAGGGUUUAAAACCCUAAUGCUGACUGAAUGGAAAAAGUUCAGUUUAGGAUUUAAAACCCUAAUGCUGACUAAAGGAAAGAGUUCAGUUUAGGGUUUAAAACCCUAAUGCUGACUGAAUGGAAAAAGUUCAGUUUAGGGUUUAAAACCCUAAUGCUGACUGAAUGAAAAAGAGUUCAGUUUAGGGUCUAAAACCCUAAUGCUGACUAAAUGGAAAAGUUCAGUUUAGGGUUUAAAACCCUAAUGCUGACUAAAGGAAAGAGUUCAGUUUAGGGUUUAAAACCCUAAUGCUAACUAAAGGGAAAGUUCAGUUUAGGGUUUAAAACCCUAAUGCUGACUAAAGGAAACAGUUCAGUUUAGGGUUUAAAACCCUAAUGCUGACUAAAGGGAAAGUUAAGUUUAGAGUUUAAAACCCUAAUACUGACUGGCUGGAAAGAGUUCAGUUUAGGGUUUGAAACCCUAAUGCUGACUCUGACUACAGGAAAAAGUUCAGUUUAGGGUUUAAAACCCUAAUGCUGACUGAAUAGAAAAGAGUUCAGUUUAGGGUUUAAAACCCUAAUGCUGACUACAGGAAAAGUUCAGUUUAGGGUCUAAAACCCUAAUGCUGACUGAAGGGAAAAGUUCAGUUUAAGGUUUAAAACCCUAAUCCUGAUUAAAGGAAAGAGUUCAGUUUAGGGUUUAAAACCUUAAUGCUGGCUGAAUGGAAAAAGUUUAGUUUAGGGUUUAAAACCCUAAUGCUGACUGAAUGGAAAAGGUUCAGUUUAGGGUUUAAAACCCUAAUGCUGACUGAAUGGAAAAAGUUCAGUUUAGGGUUUAAAACCCUAAUGCUGACUGAAGGAAAGAGUUCAGUUUAGGGUUUAAAACCCUAAUGCUGACUGAAAGGAAAAGUUCAGUUUAGGGUUUAAAACCCUAAUGCUGACUAAAGGAAAGAGUUCAGUUUAGGGUUUAAAACCCUAAUGCUAACUGAAUAGAAAAGUUCAGUUUUGGAUUUAAAACUCUAAUGCUGACUAAAUGGAAAAGUUCAGUUUAGGGUUUAAAACCCUAAUGCUGACUAAAGGAAAGAGUUCAGUUUAGGGUUUAAAACCCUAAUGCUAACUGAAUGGAAAAGUUCAGUUUAUGGUUUAAAACCCUAAUGCUGACUAAAUGGAAAAGUUCAGUUUAGGGUUUAAAACCCUAAUGCUGACUGAAUGGAAAAAGUUCAGUUUACGGUAUAAAACCCUAAUGCUGACCAAAGAAAAAAGUUCAGUUUAGGGUUUAAAACCCUAAUGCUGACUAAAGGAAAAAGUUCAGUUUAGGGUUUAAAACCCUAAUGCUGACUGAAGGAAAGAGUUCAGUUUAGGGUUUAAAACCCUAAUGCUGACUGAAUGGAAAAGUUCAGUUUAGGGUUUUAAAACCCUAAUGCUGACUAAAGGAAAAGUUCAGUUUAGGGUUUAAAACCCUAAUGCUGACUACAUGGAAAAAGUUCAGUUUAGGGUUUAAAACUCUAAUGCUGACUAAAGGAAAAGUUCAGUUUAGGGUUUAAAAACCUAAUGCUGACUGAAUGGAAAAGUUCAGUUUAGGGUUUAAAACCCUAAUAAUGACUAAAUGGAAAAAGUUCAGUUUAGGGUUUAAAAGCCUAAUGCUGACUAAAGAGAAAAAGUUCAGUUUAGGGUUUAAAACCCUAAUCUUGACUAAAGGAAAGAGUUCAGUUUAGGGUUUAAAACACUAAUGCUGACUGAAUGGAAAUAGUUCAGUUUAGGGUUUAAAACCCUAAUGAUGACUACAUGGAAAAAGUUCAGUUUAGGGUUUAAAACCCUAAUGCUGACUACAUGGAAAAAGUUCAGUUUAGGGUUUAAAACCCUAAUGCUGACUACAUGGAAAAAGUUCAGUUUAGGGUUUAAAACCCUAAUGCUGACUAAAGGAAAAGUUCAGUUUAGGGUUUAAAACCCUAAUGCUGACUAAAGGAAAAGUUCAGUUUAGGGUUUAAAACCCUAAUACUGACUGAAUGGAAAAGAGUUCAGUUUAGGGUUUAAAAUCCUAAUGCUGACUACAUGAAAAAAGUUCAGUUUAGGGUUUAAAACUGUAAUGCUGACUGAAUGGAAAAGUUCAGUUUAGGGGUUUAAAACCCUAAUGCUGACUAAAUGGAAAAAGUUCAGUUUAGGGUUUAAAACCCUAAUGCUGACUAAAGAGAAAAAGUUCAGUUUAGGGUUUGAAACUCUAAUCCUGACUAAAGGAAAGAGUUCAGUUUAGGGUUUAAAACCCUAAUGCUGACUAAAGGAAAAGUUCAGUUUAGGGUUUAAAACCCUAAUGCUGACUAAAGGAAAGAGUUCAGUUUAGGGUUUAAAACCCUAAUGAUGACUAAAGAAAAAGUUCAGUUUAGGGUUUAAAACCCUAAUGCUGACUAAAUGGAAAGAGUUCAGUUUAGAGUUUAAAACCCUAAUGCUGACUACAUGGAAAAAGUUCAGUUUAGGGUUUAAAACCCUAAUGCUGACUACAUGAAAAAAGUUCAGUUUAGGGUUUAAAACCCUAAUGCUGACUGAAUGGAAAAGAGUUCAGUUUAGGGUUUAAAACCCUAAUGCUGACUAAAGGAAAAAGUUCAGUUUAGGGUUUAAAACCCUAGUGCUGACUAAAGGAAAAGUUCAGUUUAGGGUUUAAAACCCUAAUGCUGACUAAAGAGAAAAAGUUCAGUUUAGGGUUUGAAACUCUAAUCCUGACUAAAGGAAAGAGUUCAGUUUAGGGUUUAAAACCCUAGUGCUGACUAAAGGAAAAGUUCAGUUUAGAGUUUAAAACCCUAAUGCUGACUACAUGGAAAAAGUUCAGUUUAGGGUUUAAAACCCUAAUGCUGACUAAAGGAAAAGUUCAGUUUAGGGUUUAAAACCCUAAUGCUGACUGAAUGGAAAAGAGUUCAGUUUAGGGUUUAAAACCCUAAUGCUGACUACAUGAAAAUAGUUCAGUUUAGGGUUUAAAACCCUAAUGCUGACCAAAGAAAAAGUUCAGUUUAGGGUUUAAAACCCUAAUGCUGACUAAAGGAAAAAGUUCAGUUUAGGGUUUAAAACCCUAGUGCUGACUAAAGGAAAAGUUCAGUUUAGGGUUUAAAACCCUAAUGCUGACUAAAUGGAAAAAGUUCAGUUUAGGGUUUAAAACCCUAAUGCUGACUGAAUGGAAAGAGUUCAGUUUAGGGUUUGAAACUCUAAUCCUGACUAAAGGAAAGAGUUCAGUUUAGGGUUUAAAACCCUAAUGCUGACUGAAUGGAAAGAGUUCAGUUUAGGAUUUAAAACCUUAAUGCUGACUAAAGGAAAAGUUUAGUUUAGGGUUUAAAACCCUAAUGCUGACUGAAUGGAAAAGAGUUCAGUUUAGGGUUUAAAACCCUAAUGCUGACUACAUGAAAAAAGUUCAGUUUAGGGUUUAAAACCCUAAUGCUAACUAAAGGAAAAGUUCAGUUUAGGGUUUAAAACCCUAAUGCUGACUAAAGGAAAAAGUUCAGUUUAGGGUUUAAAACCCUAAUGCUGACUAAAGGAAAAGUUCAGUUUAGGGUUUAAAACCCUAAUGUUGAUUAAAGGAAAAAGUUCAGUUUAGGGUUUAGACCCUAAUGCUGACUAAAGGAAAAGUUCAGUUUAGGGUUUAAAACCCUAAUGCUGAUUGAAUGGAAAAGAGUUCAGUUUAGGGUUUAAAACCCAAAUGCUGACUAAAGGAAAAGUUCAGUUUAGGGUUUAAAACCCUAAUGCUGACUAGAGGAAAAGUUCAGUUUAGGGUUUAAAACCCUAAUACUGACUGAAUGGAAAAAAGUUCAGUUUAGGGUUUAAAACCCUAAUGCUAACUACAAGGAAAAAGUUCAGUUUAGGGUUUAAAACCCUAAUGCUGACUAAAAGAAAAGUUCAGUUUAGGGUUUAAAAUCCUAAUGCUGACUAAAGGAAAAGUUCAGUUUAGGGUUUAAAACUCUAAUGCUGACUGAAUGGAAAAGAGUUCAGUUUAGGGUUUAAAACCCUAAUGCUGACUAGAGGAAAAGUUCAGUUUAGGGUUUAAAACCCUAAUACUGACUGAAUGGAAAAGAGUUCAGUUUAGGGUUUAAAACCCUAAUGCUGACUACAUGGAAAAAGUUCAGUUUAGGGUUUAAAACCCUAAUGCUGACUAAAUGAAAAUUUCAGUUUAGGGUUUAAAA